UUGGAGCUCUAGCUCACCUCUUUGGUGUUGUUCUCAUCUAAUUAAUCUAGUUCUUGCCAGUUCUUCUUGAACUUCUUGUUAGAUCUCGAGUCUGUAUUUCUUUGUCCAUGACAGAUUGUCGAGACUUCACUCACCUCAGAUAUCAGAGCUAGUUUCUUCCUCAUUAAAGUGUGGAUUACCCCUUUGCUUGGAAGUGUACUAGCAUUUUAGAGGUUGCGGAUUACCCUCCUCUAAACUGAUACUUCUUUUGUUACAAUAUUGGAGUCUUAUUCUUCUUGGAAAGAGUGGAUUACCCCUUUUCUUGAAGCUCUUAAGGCAUUUUAGAGGUUGCGGAGUACCUUCCUCUAAACCAAUAUUGUCUUCUUGUAGAGUCAUUUCUGUCCUUCUCUUAGAAUGGCCGGGGG
rnacentral:lncRNA from 1 species